GCUGGGGGAUAUGGGCUAUGCCUGUCUCCCUUUCCUGAUGACGCCGCUCGCAAACCCUGGAGCGGCAAAUAGUCCCGGAGGGAGGUACAACAAGGCCCAGAUCCGAACGAGGAACUCCGUCGAGAGGGCCUUUGGGGUCUGGAAGAGACGAUUUCCCUGUUUGGAUAUGCGGCUCCAGCACAAGACUCGCCACUCAUGCAGCAUCAUCACCGCGUGUGCGGCUUUGCAUAAUCUGGGACGUGCAAGAAAUGAGCCCCUACCUCCUCCUCCACCCCCGCCACCAAGUCCCAGGGCACGGAAUGCCAGAAGGCGGCGGCAGCCACACCUGCCACCGAUUCUCCCGGAGGACUCUCCUUCGGGUCUGCGUAUCCGGCAGAACAUCAUUCUGCUGAGCUUUACGUGAGCUGCACGUAGGCUCAAGAGGCCCAUCACACAGGCCAUGAAGCGCAGCUCUCUUGCUGAGUGCGUCGCGGUGGUCCUGUUCAAGGAAGUUGCAGCGCAGGGCAUGCUCCUGCUGGACAAAGGCCAUCCUCAUAUCGUUUUCCUCUGCGAGGCUCCUUUCCAGCAGCGCCAUACGUCCUCCGACCUGGCGGGCACCACUGCCCACAGCUGCUGCCGCACUACCAC
rnacentral:lncRNA from 1 species